rnacentral:rRNA from 1 species
UACAGAGGUCUCAAGCGUUGUUCGGAUUCAUUGGGCGUAAAGGGCGCGUAGGCUGCGGGGCAAGUCGGGUGUGAAAUCUCAGAGCUCAACUCUGAAACUGCACUCGAUACUGCUUUGCUCGAGGACUGGAGAGGAGAUUGGAAUUUACGGUGUAGCGGUGAAAUGCGUAGAUAUCGUAAGGAAGACCAGUGGCGAAGGCGGGUCUCUGGACAGUUCCUGACGCUGAGGCACGAAGGUCAGGGGAGCAAACGGG